rnacentral:rRNA from 1 species
AGCGAACGCUGGCGGCAGGCCUAACACAUGCAAGUCGAACGAACUCUUCGGAGUUAGUGGCGGACGGGUGAGUAACACGUGGGAACGUGCCUUUUGGUUCGGAAUAACUCAGGGAAACUUGUGCUAAUACCGAAUGUGCCCUUCGGGGGAAAGAUUUAUCGCCAUUAGAGCGGCCCGCGUCUGAUUAGCUAGUUGGUGAGGUAACGGCUCACCAAGGCGACGAUCAGUAGCUGGUCUGAGAGGAUGACCAGCCACACUGGGACUGAGACACGGCCCAGACUCCUACGGGAGGCAGCAGUGGGGAAUCUUGCGCAAUGGGCGAAAGCCUGACGCAGCCAUGCCGCGUGAAUGAUGAAGGUCUUAGGGUUGUAAAAUUCUUUCAACGGGGACGAUAAUGACGGUACCCGGAGAAGAAGCCCCGGCUAACUUCGUG